ACAAGCUAGAUAAGGGCGUAUGGGGAAUGCCUAGGCUCUCAGAGGCGAUGAAGGACGCGAUAAGCUGCGAAAAGCUGUGGGGAGGUGCACAUAACUUGUGAUCCGCAGAUAUCCGAAUGGGGCAACCCACUAUAUUGAAGGUAUAGUAUCCAGCAAUGGAAGCGAACCCGGUGAACUGAAACAUCUAAGUAGCCGGAGGAAGAGAAAACAAAAGUGAUUCCGGGAGUAGUGGCGAGCGAAACCGGAUUAGCCCAAACCAGUGUUGUUUUGGCAAUACUGGGGUUGUAGGACCACGACAUUGAUUGCGUAAUGAAUUAGAACACUUUGGAAAGAGUGACCGAAGAGGGUGAUAGUCCCGUACAAGUAAAGAGCGUUAAUUAUAGUGGUAUCCUGAGUAGUGCGGGGCACGUGAAACCCUGUAUGAAUCAAGCGGGACCAUCCGUUAAGGCUAAAUACUCCUGAGAGACCGAUAGUGAACCAGUACCGUGAGGGAAAGGUGAAAAGAACCCUGAAUAAGGGAGUGAAAAAGAUCCUGAAACCAUACGCUUACAAGCGGUCGGAGCCCGUAAGGGGUGACGGCGUGCCUUUUGCAUAAUGAGCCUACGAGUUACUUUUACUAGCAAGGUUAAGCACUUCAGGUGCGGAUCCGUAGCGAAAGCGAGUCUGAAUAGGGCGUUAUAGUUAGUAGUAGUAGACGCGAAACCGUGUGAUCUACCCAUGGGCAGGUUGAAGCUUUGUUAACCCAAAGUGGAGGACCGAACCCGUUGACGUUGAAAAGUCUUGGGAUGACCUGUGGGUAGGGGUGAAAGGCCAAUCAAACUCGGAAAUAGCUCGUACUCCCCGAAAUGCAUUUAGGUGCAGCGUUUAACUAGUUUUAUAGAGGUAGAGCUACUGAUUGGAUGCGGGGGCUUCACCGCCUACCAAUUCCUGACAAACUCCGAAUGCUAUAAAAUGUUGUUAAGCAGUGAGGGCAUGGGUGCUAAGGUCCAUGUCCGAGAGGGAAAGAACCCAGAUCAUCAGCUAAGGUCCCCAAGUGUAUGCUAAGUUGACAAAACGCGGUAAAACUGCAUUGACAGCCAGGAUGUUGGCUUGGAAGCAGCCAUUCAUUUAAAGAGUGCGUAACAGCUCACUGGUCGAGCGGUUUUGCAUGGAUAAUAAUCGGGCAUAAGUAUACCACCGAAGCUAUGACUUUGUCUUAUGACAAGGGGUAGGGGAGCAUUCUAUGGGCAUUGAAGGUGCUGGCGUGAGCCGUGCUGGAGCGCAUAGAAACGAAAAUGUAGGCAUAAGUAACGAUAAUGCGGGCGAGAAACCCGCACGCCGAAAGACCAAGGUUUCCCCAGCUAUGCUAAUCAGCUGGGGGUCAGUCGGGACCUAACGCGAACCCGAACGGGGUAGUGGAUGGACAAUCAGUUAAUAUUCUGAUACCUGCUCACAUUAAAAGUGACGGGGAUGAGGCGUUGGUGCGAAGAGACGGAAUUCUUCGUUGAAGGUAGUGGAAGCUACUGAUAGUACACUGAGGCUUCGGCCAAGGUGAUAAUCCAGCUUAUCAUCCUCCAAGAAAAACAAGUGAAGCAGCCCGUACCGUAAACCGACACAGGUGGUUGGGAUGAGUAUUCUAAGGCGCUCGAGAGAUUCAUGGCUAAGGAACUAGGCAAAAUAGACCCGUAACUUCGGGAGAAGGGUCGCCCCCUGUAUGGGGGGCCGCAGUGAAGAGGUCCAGGCGACUGUUUAUCAAAAACACAGGGCUCUGCAAAAUCGAAAGAUGACGUAUAGGGCCUGACACCUGCCCGGUGCUGGAAGGUUAAGAGGAGAUGUUAUUUUUCGGAAGAAGCAUUGAAUUGAAGCCCCAGUAAACGGCGGCCGUAACUAUAACGGUCCUAAGGUAGCGAAAUUCCUUGUCGGGUAAGUUCCGACCUGCAUGAAUGGCGUAACGAUUUCUCCGCUGUCUCCAACAUCAACUCAGUGAAAUUGAAUUCUCCGUGAAGAUGCGGAGUUCGCGUAGUUAGACGGAAAGACCCCGUGCACCUUUACUGCAACUUUACAUUGGUGUUAGGAAAAACAUAUUUAGCAUAGGAGGGAGACAUUGAAGCAAAGGCGUCAGCUUUUGUGGAGUCACCAGUGAAAUACCUCUUUUGUUUUUCUUGAUAUCUAACUGAUUGCCGUCAUCCGGCAUCAAGACAUUGUAUGGUGGGUAGUUUGACUGGGGCGGUCGCCUCCCAAAUAGUAACGGAGGCGUGCGAAGGUAGGCUCAGAACGGUCAGAAAUCGUUCGUAGAGUGCAAUGGCAUAAGCCUGCCUGACUGUGAGACUGACAAGUCGAGCAGAGACGAAAGUCGGUCAUAGUGAUCCGGUGGUUCUGAGUGGAAGGGCCAUCGCUCAACGGAUAAAAGGUACGCCGGGGAUAACAGGCUGAUACCCUCCAAGAGUCCAUAUCGACGAGGGUGUUUGGCACCUCGAUGUCGGCUCAUCACAUCCUGGGGCUGGAGCAGGUCCCAAGGGUUUGGCUGUUCGCCAAUUAAAGUGGUACGUGAGCUGGGUUCAGAACGUCGUGAGACAGUUCGGUCCCUAUCUGCCAUGGGUGUAGAAGAAUUGAGAGGAUUUGUCCCUAGUACGAGAGGACCGGGAUGAACAUAUCACUGGUGGACCAAUUGUGGCGCCAGCCGCAGUGUUGGGUAGCUAAAUAUGGAAAAGAUAACCGCUGAAAGCAUCUAAGUGGGAAACUUACCUCAAAACUAGUUCUUCCUAUAGAGCCGUAGUAGACCACUACGUUGAUAGGCUGGAUGUGUAAGCACCGUAAGGUGUGUAGCUGACCAGUACUAAUAGCUCAAUUGGCUUGAUUUA
rnacentral:rRNA from 1 species